GAUGAAUAAUUUACAAUUGCAUUUCUGAAUUAGUUUAACUUUCCUGUUGCAUUGUGUGUUUUUCUUUGACUGGAUCAUCUACCUUUUUUUAAGCGAUCCGCGUUUAAAGCCUUCUUCAUUUCAUGAUAAAGGCAUAUAUAAGUAUACAACGUUUGUUAAUGGAAAAUUUCUCUAAUGGUCAGUCAAAUGGAUUAUUAUAGAAUUGACACUUCAUUGAAAUAACUAGUCAUGACUCGUAGUAGUACACAAACAAUUUACAUUGCUCCUUUUUGUUUCCUUAGCAUAUUAUACGCAUGGAUGGUUAUGGAAAAUUAUUUCAGCAUGAGCUAGAACAUAGACAACUUAUGGAUUAUGGAGAUGCAUCAUUUUUCUCUUUCCCUCCAAUUAUUGCACAACCUCAGUGCGGAACCAAUUAACCAAUCUCAACCUUGGGUGAUAUGGAUAACUAUUUUUGUUGCUGAGAUACAUGCAGCAACACACUGAAGUUGAACUCUUUGCUCUUGGAAUUGGAUUUCAGGUUGAUAGUGUGGAAUUUGACCGUAGCAGAAAAGACACUCAAUUUUUAGUAGUUUAAUCGUUAUUUUUGAUGAAUAUUUUGAUAAACAUUUUCUAUUUGUGA